ACAGCGAUAACUAUACCGAUCGACGUAUUUUUAUUAAAGAACUCUAUUUCUUAGAGUUCACACUGUAGGAUGUAGGGGUAGUGAAAAUAUUUAGAGGGGGCCUGAAAAUUGAAGCGCGCCCGGUGCCUCUUAAAUGCUAAAUCCGCCACUGUCUCCCUUAGUUAAAAACACUAGGUAAAAGUAAUCCGGACACCGCGUAGACGGCGCAGAAAGUAUCGGAAUUUACCCGGGUUUAACUUUUCCGUCCGAUGAUCCGGGAAAAGAAUAUUUAAAAUCGAUAGCGUACCGUGGACAGCCACUCCCUAGGUGAACCGCCUGGUGGUGGAAUAGAGAGGGAAAUUUAGGUGUGGAAGGCCGGAAGACGAGCGAUGGAGCUGGAAGAAAUUACCAAAUAUCCCCAGUUGUUUAUUGGACCAGACACGGUUAAAAAACGGUACGGACAACCGAUCGAAUACCACUACGUUCCAGAUGGGUAUAUAUCGCCGUUUCCGAGCUGUGACGUCGGCGCUUUCGAAAUUCUUUUCGGAUUAGAUGGAAGCAUUCGGCAUUUUACGGACGAAAAAAACAAAAAAAAUUGUAUUUCUACGAAAUUCGUCGAUGCUCGGUCGAACGAGGAAAACUUCCAACUGGUCCGACUAACCAUCAAAUAAUUUCGGUUAUUUAAAUUACCUCACCACGAUUAUACGGCCGUCGAUAUCCACUGGGGAAGUAAUCGUACUGGUCUUAUAUCGGGCGAGGCCCCAUAACGGCCACCGUACGUGUGGUGGUUAGCGCGCCGACUUCCGGUCGGUCCAACCCACACUUCAAAUUUCUCGAGUGUAUGGCGUGGCCCGGGAGGCCGGCCAAAAUCACGUUAUUUCGCCCUUCCGUGGUCGGUGGCCGCCAGGCCCGAUUAAUAACCACUACGGACCCGGCUUUUCAUCACUUUAUCUACUGGGAAAGAAUAUUAAAUGGUCCGGUCAAUCGCCCGUAUCUUUGGGCUGGAGUAAGAUCGGAGAGUUUCCGCCCAGCUCCCACCCAUAACUAGACGAGAAAAUCGUAGGGUUGGGGAAAGUGACGGAUAAUGGCCGGGGUCAUUCCAGGUUGAUGGGAACCGCCGGCCCCAGAAGCUGUAUUACGGUCAAUUCUGUCUAUUCCCAUAAAUUAUUUGUCAUCUGUCAGCCGGAUGGUCUCUUAUAUUAAACGAUUUCAAGAUUGUGGCCAUAGAAGAUUUGUUUUUAUCGGUCCGUCGACCGAUACAGAUACAAAAACCACCAGACGACUAUCAGCUAGCGCGUGCGCCAGGUUGGACCGGAUAGUCGGAGCCAGUAGUAUUUUUCUGUUAGGCCACUUUCCAUUCUAAUAGAACACUAAGUGACCGACCCUUCCACCGGAAGCCGGAUGGUGGAGAAGGGGAC
rnacentral:lncRNA from 1 species